GCCGGGCGUUGUGGCGAGCACCUGUGGUCCCAGCUACUUGGGAGGCUGAGGCAGGAGGAUUGUUUGAGCCUAGGAAUUCAAGGUUAUAGUGAGCUACAGUCAUGCCACUGUGCUCCAGUCUGAACAACAGAGCAAGAUCUUGUCUCUU
rnacentral:SRP_RNA from 1 species